rnacentral:rRNA from 1 species
GACGAACGCUGGCGGCGUGCCUAAUACAUGCAAGUAGAACGCACAGUUUAUACUUUAGCUUGCUUCACCAUAGACUGUGAGUUGCGAACGGUUGAGUAAUGCGUAGGUAACCUGCCUGGUAUCGGGGGAUAACUAUUGGUAACGCUAGCUAAUACCGCAUGAUAUUGAUUAUUCUUUGAUAAUUAAUUUAAAGGUUCAAUUUCACCCCUACUAGCUGGUUCUGCGUUUUAUUAGCUACUAGGUGAGGUAACGGCUCAUCUACGCGGAGGUACAUAACCGACCUGGGAAGGAGAUCGGCCAAAAUGGGACUGAGAAAAGGGCCAGACUCCUACGGGAAGGAGCAGUAGGGAAACAUCGGCAAUGGACGAAAGUCUGACCGAGCAACGCCGCGUGAGUGAAGAAGGUUUUCGGAUCGGAAAGCUCUGUUGUAAGAGAAGAACGGGUAGGAGGGUGGAAAGUUCACGCUGUGACGGUAUCAUACCAGAAAGGGACGGCUAACUACGUG